UACGUAGGCAGCAAGCGUUGUUCGGAAUUACUGGGCGUAAAGCGUGCGCAGGCGGUUGUGUAAGACAGAUGUGAAAUCCCCGGGCUCAACCUGGGAACUGCAUUUGUGACUGCACAGCUGGAGUGCGGCAGAGGGGGAUGGAAUUCCGCGUGUAGCAGUGAAAUGCGUAGAUAUGCGGAGGAACACCGAUGGCGAAGGCAAUCCCCUGGGCCUGCACUGACGCUCAUGCACGAAAGCGUGGGGAGCAAA
rnacentral:rRNA from 1 species